CGUACCACACAGUCACACACAAAAACAAGAAGAUGCACCAACAAUUCACAAAUCUCACACUCAACGUUUCUUUACUGCAAGUCUAGCAUCAUCGCAUGUCUGGUUCUUUGCGGUUUCUUGUCACUUAAUGGCGUUGAUGAUUCAGCCACUAGCGAGCACAAUGUCGGCACUAGUGAUUCAGCCAGCGGCCACCUUGACAACGCUGUUGUAUUACAGCGAUCUUCUUCCUCGGAAUCUCAACUUGGAACGAUUGGUUUGCCGUCAAUUGCUUCGUCGGGGAAACCUUCUGUUUAGUUUUCUUGUUCACUUCUUGGCAUGUUUCUGGUAGAGCUGUUUAUCAUCACGAGUAUCCUGAGCAAAAGUAUCAAUGAAUAUCUUUUCCCUUUGAUUUUCU